rnacentral:lncRNA from 1 species
GUGAGUGAAACGCCCUGAGCUUCAUCUUGCAUGCUUUGAACUGAGCAUGCUGAACUUUGCCUAGUUACCGAGCUGACACGUGAGCAAUCCAUUUGCAAUUCAGAGAGAGUGAGAGAGAGGGGGCCUGAUCCUGCUUUUACCAAAGCCAAAGGAAAUCCUGCUGCUAACUGCAGCAAGACCAGCAGCAAAACCAUAAUGACUAUUUAAGACGAUAUUUCACAAGUACAGUAAUGUGACAAUCAUGAUGAAGUGGUGGUUUUUCCAGAGGCAGUGUCUGAAUUAAUAGGGUCUUUCCAACCAGCUCUCCUUGAAAUGGGUUGCAAGAGGUAAAAUAAAUAAAUAAAUAGUCUCUAGGGUACUUUCCCCUUGUCAGGAUUUUUAUUCACUUAAUAAAUAGCUGUUAUAUUUUGAAGUUUGGGUUUGUUUUUUCAUUGUUGUCAUCUUCUCCUUCUUUAUUGUAGCAUGAGUAAUUUAAUUUUUCUGCAUAGCAUGUUGCAGUUUGAUAGACAGGUCUCUGAGGGAAGCCUUAUGUGUCAGCAUCAGUGAAAAUGACUUCUGAGGUUGGCUCACACCCCCACGCGAGUGUGGAAUCCAAAUCACCCCAGAGUGAGGCAUCCACUGCCCCACGCCUCGCUGCUGGGUAAUGUAUUCAUUUGCCUCUGGCAAAAGAAGAGUGAGAUCCUCCAUCGCAUACUGAUGCCAUGUGGAAGAAGCCAUAAUUGGGACCGGUCACAUGUUAAAGUAACUGCAAGCUGCUUUUUGCCGUCUGUGUAGAUGAAGUUCAUGUCUCUUGAUCUGCACAUACAGACAUCAUGUACUGUGAGUACACGCACGGUUUGGAAACCCAGCGAUUCCAACAUAGGAGCAACCGAAAAACAGGAAAUGCAGACAGGCUGGAGCUGCCAGGUCUGUCUCUUUUGCAGAAUCUGAUCCUAGUGGCAGGAGGUUUUAUUUGGCUCCAUCACUACUUUGGUUUAUCAGUAAUUAUUAAUGACCAGUGCAAUUGCAUUCCCCGCUUCAAUUAAGGACAGAGAUUUCAAAUCUAGCAAGAAAGCAUUCACAAAUCACCUGCCCUGCCUGUUUUCUUUUCACAGGCAGAAGCAGCCAGGGAAAGAGGGAGUUUUUGCUUCAGGUGCAUAUAAAGCUUUACAGCUUGACUUCCAAGAGGAUUUUUUGCGACUGAGCUUCCCAAGUUUCAUGCCUUGUUCCCUCCUCCCAGCAAUACAACUUAAGUAAUUUGGCUGCUGAGUAUUUCAGAUCCUCAUAUGAAGCCCACUGAGUGGACAGGAAGAUUUCUAGGGAUUCAUCUGCUUCCAGUUAGCCCCUAAGAGCACUCCUGCCCUCUUCCCUUUUAUAAUAGCUGGAAAAGUUACUAGGUCUGAUGGGUCUAGUCGGGGGCUCUGGAUGGUCUGCCACUGAUUUCUGUGGACUUGAAUCAUGGCUCUUUGCCUCGGUUUCCCUGUCUAUAAACAAGACCUUUAAUAAGGGCAUGGUCUCUCCGGGGUAUGGAAGGGAUGCUGAGCACCUGAGAUGAAUGCUGCUACCUGAUAAUACUGUGACUGGGGGCAAUGACAGUAGAGCCAAAUCUGCAGAUAUUAAAUAAGGCUGUAAUUUCUGAUUUCACUGUUGUCCCACUUCCAGGUAGGGAAAUGGAGCUGGUUUUGGAACAAAGCCACCACAUUCAGUCUUCUUAACCUUCAGUCUGGAUAGCUGCAAAGAAGAACAGAAGAAUUUUAUGCUUAACAUUUUAACUUGGCUUGAUCACAUGUUCCCACCCAGUGGGGAAGGUGUGAGCGAGUUCUGAAGGAGGACGGUGCAGAGCGAAUCUCAUCUCCCUUUGCAACACUGAAUAGUAAAUAUCCAUAAGAAGAAAGAAAUUCACACGUCAGAGCAAAGCUCAGAACUAGAGAAGAUUGAUGCUGAUCAUGGACACUGUACUCCCCAGAAGGAGUCAGGCUGCUUCAGCCCUGGGCUUCUGUGCUGAAGGAGCCUGUGUCACACCUGCCAGCCUCUUCUUCCACAUUUCAUCUGGCAAAACCCAGGCCAUCACUUCAUGGUCCACAGUCAGCCUCAGGAUGGAGGAGGAUGGCAGUGUCAGGACAAGAGGACUGUUGCAAGACAAAGCCUUCAAUGCUGAACCUUAAACCCAAGCCUUCUGCUCUUGCCAGGAACUGCUGCUCGAGGUUUCUUGCAUCACCCAUAGGGAGACCUCUAUGACAUGACACCAGCCUUAAGUGGGCUCAGGAAAAGGCAAUUUGUUGCCAACUUCAGCACCUCAGGGCUGCGUUUGAACACAGGUGGGAUAAAUAGGUACUUGAUCCCGUUGUCCUCUGGUGCUUGGUUACAAGGACUGCAAACAAGGAGAAGGCAGCUCUGAGAGUCUGGGGGCAGAGUUAAUGGUCAGAACUUGGGUGCAGCUGGAAAAGCAGGACAUGAAAGAGCAGCUUGGAUAGAAAAAGGCUCAGAGCUACUGCUUUAGUUCACACUGUUUUCCUUGCCUGUGUGAGAUGUCGAACCUACUCAAGACUAUUUUGCUGCAUGGAAAACCCUGGACACUUGAUACCACAGAAAUGAGGAAAAAUUCUGGGCAGAGCUUCUUUGCUUCUCAACAAGUGCAACAAAAUGUUUCCCAUUUCUAAUAAACAAGGGUUAUUCUUCACUUUGGGUUACCACAUCCCUACUAGGCUGCCAACAAAACCAAAACACUCCAUCACCCAGCAGUGUGCAGUUGCUAAAUAUCCCCAUCACUGACACUGGCACCUUUUCCAGGCCAAAAGGGCAUCAGCCGUGGAGAGCUGUGCAGAUGCUGACUGCAGCACAGCGCCCUGUAAGCACUCAAUUAGCCCGGCCGCUUGUGCUCAACCUCUCAAGCACUCGGUGGAAGUAAAAUGCUUACACGAUCCCUCUGCCUACAAGGCCUUGAAAUCUUUAGGGGGCCUGGCUUUGCUGCCUGGUUUUCCAUUGACAGGCUGAUAGAGACAUCACAAAUCUCUCCAAAGGCCAGUCACUAGGCUUCUUUCAACAUCAAAGGUGUCAAUGUUCACUCUGCCUCGGAGCCUGGGGCAGUAUAAAUCACACAUGAAUAUGUGAACUGAGUGUUUGAGGUUAAACUCGCUCUGUAUAUACAAAUAUUUCUCCUUGAGUAACUGGUAUUAUUGUACUGUUUCCUC